ACCCAAUAGAUACCCGGGUAGUCCACGCCCUAAACGAUGUCGACUGGUUGUUGGGGGUUUGACACUCUCAGUAAACGAAAGCUAAACGCGUGAAAGUCGACCGCCUGGGGAGUACGGCCGCAAGGUUAAAACUCAAAGGAAUUGACGGGGACCCGCACAAGCGGUGGAUUAUGUGGAUUAAUUCGAUGCAACGCGAAAAACCUUACCUACCCUUGACAUGUCCUGGACCCUGCAGAGAUGCGGGGGUGCCCGAAAGGGAACGGGAACACAGGUGCUGCAUGGCUGUCGUCAGCUCGUGUCGUGAGAUGUUGGGUUAAGUCCCGCAACGAGCGCAACCCUUGUCAUUAGUUGCUACAUCCAGUUGGGCACUCUAAUGAGACUGCCGGUGACAAACCGGAGGAAGGUGGGGAUGACGUCAAGUCCUCAUGGCCCUUAUGGGUAGGGCUUCACACGUAAUACAAUGGCGCGUACAGAGGGUUGCCAAGGGGUGACCUGGAGCCAAUCCCGCAAAGCGCGUCGUAGUCCGGAUUGCAGUCUGCAACUCG
rnacentral:rRNA from 1 species